AUCAGGGUAAUUUAAUAAAAUAAAAUAAAAGAUUGUGAAUCUUUAAAUAGGAUCCCCUUCCUGGUA
rnacentral:tRNA from 1 species